UACGUAGGUCCCGAGCGUUGUCCGGAUUUAUUGGGCGUAAAGCGAGCGCAGGUGGUUUAUUAAGUCUGGUGUAAAAGGCAGUGGCUCAACCAUUGUAUGCAUUGGAAACUGGUAGACUUGAGUGCAGGAGAGGAGAGUGGAAUUCCAUGUGUAGCGGUGAAAUGCGUAGAUAUAUGGAGGAACACCGGUGGCGAAAGCGGCUCUCUGGGCCGUCACUGACGCUGAGGCGCGAAAGCUGGGGGAGCGAACAGG
rnacentral:rRNA from 1 species